AUAGGACGCCAUUUCAGUGACAGGGUGUGAAGAGCCUAUUGAGCUAGUUGGUAGUCCUCCGGCCCCUGAAUGCGGCUAAUCCUAACCACGGAGCGUCCACCAGCAAACCAGCUGACAGGGCGUCGUAACGGGUAACUCUGUGGCGGAACCGACUACUUUGGGUGUCCGUGUUUCCUUUUGAUCCUAUUUUGGCUGCUUAUGGUGACAACGAUAAGUUGUUAUCAUAAAGCUUUUGGGUUGGCCACCUGGAA
rnacentral:other from 1 species